rnacentral:rRNA from 1 species
CACCCGUAAAUAUAAGCCAGUUUAGGGGUUUGACCCCUAAGCCCUUACCCCAUAACCCCCCGUCUCGGAAGCCGGUUCCAAUUCACUCAAAGGAUUUAGGGGUACCGGCCCACGGUUGGAGCAUGGGUUUAAUUCGAACCGACCAAUACCUUCCAAGGUUUUUGACAUCCCGUUGCCACUGAGAGAUAGGUUUCCCCAUCGGGGACAACGGUGCAGGUGGUGCAUGGUGUGUCAGCUUCGUGUCGUGAGAUGUUGGGUUAAGUCCCGCAAUCAUGCAACCUUGAUUAGUGGCCAUAUAGUUGGCGCAUUAAGGGAUCCGGUUCAGCCUGGAGGAAGGUGGGGAUCGUCAAAUCAUCAGCCCCUAUGCUGGUCUACCACGCUACAAUGGACGAUACUGGCGGUGCCAACUCGCGAGAGGGAGCUAAUCCAUAUAGUCCGUUCGUCAGUUCGAUUGUAGCUGCUCACUCGCCUACAUGAAGCCGGAGUCGCUAGAAUCGGGAUCAGCAUGCCGCGGUGAAUAAGUUCUGAAGCCUUGUACACUCCGCCCGUCACACCCGAGAGUUUGUAACCCCAAGUCGGUGAGGUAACCUUGGAUCUACACAAUAACAU